rnacentral:rRNA from 1 species
CGGGGGGAGCAAGCGUUGUUCGGAAUCACUGGGCGUAAAGGGCGUGUAGGCGGUUCGGCAAGUGAGAUGUGAAAUCCCUCGGCUCACCCGAGGACCUGCAUCUCAAACUGCCGGACUAGAGUAUGGGAGAGGAUGAGGGAAUUCCUGGUGUAGCGGUGAAAUGCGUAGAUAUCAGGAGGAACACCGGUGGCGAAAGCGCUCAUCUGGCCCAAUACUGACGCUGAGGCGCGAAAGCUAGGGGAGCAAACGGGAUUAGAUACCCCGGUAGUCCUAGCCGUAAACGGUGAUCACUAGGUGUUGGAGGCAUCGACCCCUCCAGUGCCGCAGCUAACGCAUUAAGUGAUCCGCCUGGGGAGUACGGCCGCAAGGUUG